rnacentral:rRNA from 1 species
GAGUCUGGCCACACCACCCUGAACACACCCGAUCUCAUAUAAUCUUGGAAGUUAAGCAGUAUCUGGCCUAGUUAGUACUUGGAUCGGAGACCGCCUGGGAAUAGGCUUUCUGUUCU